AUACGGAGGAUGCAAGCGUUAUCCGGAUUUAUUGGGUUUAAAGGGUGCGUAGGCGGAUGAUUAAGCGUGAGGUGAAAUGCCACUGCUCAACAGUGGAACUGCCUCGCGAACUGGUUGUCUUGAAUGCUCCUGCCGUGGGAGGAAUGUGUGGUGUAGCGGUGAAAUGCAUAGAGAUCACACAGAACACCGAUUACGAAGGCAUCUCACGAAGGGGUGAUUGACGCUGAGGCACGAAAGCGUGGGGAUCAAACAGGAUUAGAUACCCUGGUAGUCCACGCAGUAAACGAUGAUAACUAACCGCUGGGUCGUAGUGAUUCAGUGGCCAAGCGAAAGCGAUAAGUUAUCCACCUGGGGAGUACGACCGCAAGGUUGAAACUCAAAGGAAUUGACGGGG
rnacentral:rRNA from 1 species